UUAUAUAUAUGAGUUUAUGCUUCUAAAAUAUUCUUCUCCCAUCUGAUAAAAUGUGUGUGUGCGUUUACAGGAAAUUGUGGAAACAGUGACUCAUCUCUUCAAUAAUUUACGCAGGAUAAUUUCUUGAAAAGCAAGAUCAGCAGGGACUUUUCCUCUUGAUUGCAGAGGAUUUGGUUAUAUAUUUCUGAAUACUCAGAAAACAAGAAAACCACAGUGAAAAAUGUUAUUGAAAUAAAGCUCAGUCAUGAGGAAGUAUUGGAUUGCCUUGGCAUGUCCUGUUUAAAGCUCUAGGUACCUUGCAUGACUCAGCUGAGUCAUCCAAAGGCCUUACUGUGCAAUACUAAGGUGAUACUCAUGGGUAUAUGCCCCCAGAAGAAAGACACUCAUUAUGAAAUAUCUAACUUCAAAACCACAAGCUGCCUGAAUUUUGUUUUUUUCCUUUUAAUAAACUGCCACAACAUUUAAUUAUCUUUUCUAGCUUGUUUCUUU
rnacentral:lncRNA from 1 species